AACAGACUUCCUCCAAGCCUUACUGAUCUGCACCACUUCAAGGCCUCUGCCAAGCACCCGUGACACCUCAUUUUCAUGUUUCGGAAGGUUUUCACCAAAGGAAUUUAUUUUCAAGAUUCAAGGAACUUACUUGUAAAGCCACGAGGUAUGAAUGAUGGGACUGUGGAGCUAGGCACUGCUGAGGAGGGAAGGGCUGAUGCUUAGUAUUCCCUGUCGGUUCGAUUUAACGAUGAUGGUUAUAUUUUAUGUUUUAUGAUGGGUCCCAUGUUGGGACGUUUUGUUGGUUGACUUUAAGACAAUAUGUCUUUGGCAUGAUGUAGAUAUUGUGGUAGUAUGAUGGUAAUAGUGUAACUUCUAUAGUAGGGUGAUGGUAACCCCACAUAAGAAGGUUAAACGUAUUUUGGAUA